AGAGGGAGCCACUAAUGUACAACCAAAUAAUGCUCAACCCAAGAAUGUACAGCCCAAUAAUUGGCGUCCAUGGUGGACGCGUAUUAUUGGGCUGUACAUUCCUGGGUUGAGCAUUCUCGGUCCGCGCAAGAUUGGUCCGGGGCGAUAAUACGAAGCCACUCUUUUCACAGGGCAAUAAUGUACGACCCCAUAAUUCGCGUCCACUAAUUUGAGUCCCUUGGCUUUCAAUUAUUGGGCUGCGCAUUAUUGGUCCAGGUCGAGAAAGCCCGACCCAAUAAUGUACGACCCAAUAAUUGGAAGCCAAAAACCAGAGACAUUCUUUUUUUUAAGGGAGCUGUCAAAAUUAGUAGGGACGUUCUGACAUUAGCUCUUGACAAUUUAAAAAUAAUCGGUUUUUUCUAGUGCCAUCUUUCAGUGACAUUGACAGUAUUGACACUUGUUGGUUUACAAAUACAAUAAAUGAAUUCUAAUAAAAGAAACAGUAGACUCAGUAGAGGUACGAGGUACUGAAAAAAUAUUAAUUAAUGGAGAAGCCGAAGUUGGAGGAAAACAAGAAGAUUCGAGGAGAAUGGUGUGGCACUUAAUGCCGCCGGGACAGUAACCUAGCUGCAACUCCAACUCUAGGGAAUUGGGCUGAAUGAACGCAACACGUGAUCGACAGCCCACCUGCUUCCUGCCGAGCGUCCCUACACUACCUCUACAUGGAUGCCUCGCUUAUUCUGCUCUACAAAACUUCUGAGCUGAUACAAGCAGCCAGAAUGAGUCUCUGCUGAGUCGCCGGCGCCGGACGUGCGUCGCGCGCCUCGGGCGUCUGACGUCUUCGUGUCAGUCGCCAAUUGCAGGAGAAGAUACGAAUAGUUAGGUAUAAAAGCUACUUUAGUCAACCUCGCCUCAGUACUGUUUGUAUUGACUGAAAUACAAGUAGCAUAUAUGAGACGUUCGGACGUAUCCGUGAAAAUACGAAGUACGAGUAAAGGAAAUUGCACUACAUUUUUAGAACCUAUUCACCUGUCAGUAAAAUAUUGAAAAGGAAUGUUCAUGAGUUUUAUAAUUUUCUUUCCUCCAACAGCUUCACAUGGAGCAAAUGUAAACCUUUUAUGUUAAUAAUAUCAGUAAUGUCAAGGUACAACGCUCUUUAGAUCAUAUUGCCAUUCCUUUUACUCGAGCGGCCUGUGGGUUAACUAUACGAAGCGAGCCUACAAUGCAUUAAAAGUGCAGUAUAACAAUGCAUUCACAAUGCUGUUGGGCUUACCUCGUAGAUGUAGUGCAUCUGGCAUCUUUUGCGAAGCUAGAAGUUUUCUGGCAAUCAUGCGCAAGAAAAUAGUAUCUCUGCUAGGUCGAGUUAGAAGCAGUCCCAAACAUACAUGUUCGAAAAGUAGAACUCCCUUAGAUCGUGUUUCAAUUUAUCGCCUCUCGUUGGCAAUUAAGGUGGUUCGCUUUCCAUACAAAAAACAAUUAAGUACCUAAUAGUGUGUAAUUACUUAAUAUAACGCAAUUGUUUUUUGUAUGGAAAGCGAACCACCUUAACUAUUCGCACAACGUUUUGUAGUUGCAGUAAGUACUUACAUAUGGCCAGUAAAAUUUUCGAAAUAGGUAUGUAUUUACGUACAGUGCUAAUUGCCGCACAUAGAAUAAUUAAAGUUUGAUCAAUCGGAAUAUGUUCAUAAGUCACUUAUUACAUUUCGAUUUAUAAGUCUGUAUUUUCCAGCUUUAGAUGUGCAUGACUGCAUAUGCACAUCUAAAGCUGAAAAAUGCUUUCAUGAAUACGUUUAUAAUUAUGGCUAAAUUAUGUUAAUAGGGACAAAUGUAUCAUUUUCAACCAAAGGGGUACUUAUUAUCUGUUGUCAAUAAGGCGCUAAGUAUUUCCAUAAAGCUUCAAUUUGAAAUCAGCCUCGUCGACAACCGACAAUGUUAACCUUUUGGUUGAAAACGUCACAAAUUAUGGCGAUAGAGAAUACAAUGUUCUGUUACCAGAGUGCAGCACUAGUAAAACCCGUAAACGAGUGAAUUGCAAAAAAGUGUAGGUAACACAAUGGAAUAUUCACAAAAAUAUGCAAGAAUGUAACACAAAAUGAAGAAAAUGUAUGUGUUUUUUUUUGUGUUACGUCACACAAAGGAAGCCAAAAUCGACGCCGCAAUAUUUUUCACGACGUGUAGAAUAAAAGUGGCGUCGAAUUCAGGAAUCCGCAAAUACCAUACCGAUAGCCAAGUAAUUUAUCUAUAGAACAAUGUUAAAACAGUAGUAGAAACGGUUAGUUUUGCAAACUUUUAGUAGAUUGGUUUGGUUUUGGUAGAUCUCUCGGUUUGGCAUGCUUGAUGCUCUUCACAUCACCACAGACGGAGGUCGACAGUUCGAAUCUGUCUUGUUCAACCAAUUGAUGGAGGCACAUGCACGCAUACGAACUACAUAUUACACUACCAUCCUGGAGCUAAUUGGAUUAUUUGCAUCUACUAUUAUAGUAUAUACCUAUGCCUUAUUUUUACGCCUAAGACCCUAUAAGCUUUUAACAAAAACCAUUAUUUCUUUUAUACCUACGGGCGGUUUAGCUCCCGUACCUACCUCUAUUAUACCUAGCCACGUGCUAAAGCAACAAUGUCCUUUAAAUCCGUAUCCUGUAUCGUGAUAGUAUUAAGAUUCAACUCGUCUACAUUGAGAUGGUCGAACGUCCUAAAUACAUUACCAAAACAUGUUAACUCGUAUGAGCUGUUACAUAGA